GACUCGUCACACUAUCAUUAACUGAAUCCAUAGGUUAAUGAGGCGAACCGGGGGAACUGAAACAUCUAAGUACCCCGAGGAAAAGAAAUCAACCGAGAUUCCCCCAGUAGCGGCGAGCGAACGGGGAGGAGCCCAGAGCCUGAAUCAGCAUGUGUGUUAGUGGAAGCGUCUGGAAAGGCGCGCGAUACAGGGUGACAGCCCCGUACACAAAAGCGCAUGUGCUGUGAGCUCGAUGAGUAGGGCGGGACACGUGGUAUCCUGUCUGAAUAUGGGGGGACCAUCCUCCAAGGCUAAAUACUCCUGACUGACCGAUAGUGAACCAGUACCGUGAGGGAAAGGCGAAAAGAACCCCGGCGAGGGGAGUGAAAAAGAACCUGAAACCG
rnacentral:rRNA from 1 species